CGGGUGGAGAUGGAGCCCGAGGGUUAAACACUGACCUACAGAAGCUGGUGAGCUGGGCACCAAGAGCCAGCCGUGGGCACCAGCCCCACCUCGACCAAGUCCUGGCGCGGGUGCUCAUGAUUGUGUGGCCGGAUGUCAGGGACCCUGGACCCUGAGCUCAUGAUCUGUUCCUGGUGUUGCUAUUAUGUCUGGAUCGAACCAGAGGAAGGAGGAAAAGAAAAGGAAAGGCACGCUGCUUUUCUUUCAAGAGCAAGACUUGGACGUUGUUUCAAUCCUAUUGGCCAAACCUUAGUGGCCCGGGCGGCCCAUGGCAGAGAAGCACGGAAAACGUGUGUUGCCGGCGGCGCUGGGCCUUGCUCCCGGUCCCUAACUACUAAGGGAAGUCGGGAAAAAUGGCAAUUGGGGCACAGCCAGCUCUACCCAGAAUACCUGCCUCUCGGGGUAGUUGUAGGGAUUAAAUACCAUCAUUUAGCACAGAUGGAGCUCCCGGGGAGCAACAGACCCAGAGAUCACUGUUAUUAUUAUCAAUCUCUGAGUCUUUCAUUUUCUCUUUAGCAAAGCGAAUAUUGAUCGAUUGUCCUAUUCUGUAAACAGCAGUGAGAACUGAGCUGUGUCAAGAGUGUCCUGACUCUCUGAGACAGAGCGAGCAGAGCAGAGGGAGCAGAAGCAGACUCCGUGCUGAUGCGGGACUCAAUCCCAAGACCCUGAGAUCCUGACCUUCCUGAGCCAAAAUCCAGAGUUGGACACUGCCUCAUGUUGGGAUUUUCCAGGGACUAGUAUCACAGCUAGGAAAACAAGGCAAAAAGAGAGGUCCUUGUAUUUUUACCAAGGAUAUUAAAAAUAAGAUACCAGGAAAUAGGCUGAUGAUGGGGAGAGCUUGAGGCCUGGGGACGGGGGCACUAGGGCAAAAUGAAAGAGACCCGGAUUGUGGAUCCAAGCAGAUGCCCUGCACUCGUGGGCUCGUGCUGUACUCACUCCCAAGCUCGUGUCUUAUGGGGAUACUUCUCGCUCCUCACCCCAAUGUCUGUGGGUUGGCAAUAGCUGUGCUUGGUUCUGCAAGGCUCUUCUCAGUUGCGCUCCCAGUUUUUCAUCGUGACGCUUCUGUCUAGGGCGCAUUAUUGGGGCAGAUGGUGGGAGCCUCAGAAGUCACACUGCAUUGUGCAACUGCUCCCGAGUUUCUGUGUUUUCUCCCAGCUUUGCCGAGACAGAAUCAGCACACAGCGUCAUAUAAGUUGAAGCCCCCAUUUGGAGAUGGCGCGUCCACAUGCUUCGUUGCCUGAAGCGAGUCAUGGGUCCGAGCCUGGAGUUAACAGCGUAGAGGAGUAUUUUCCGUCUUCCAAGAAAGCACUGUGAGGGUAGGAAGGGAACAAACAACCAUGAACGAGUAACGUGGUCGACGACAGCUGAGUUCGCUUCUUACCUGGCUGACGUGAUCGGGGCCUCACUCACCGCCUCCCUGCCUGGACUUGUCACAUGAGGCGACCCCGCAAGCAGUUUCCCCAUGGCUUGCCACAGACAUGUCCUGAAAGCCUUUUACGUGCGAGACACUGGAGACACAAGGACACAUCAGGCGUCAUCUCUGGCCCCAAGGAGCUUACGUAGUGCGAGGAGCCUGCUAGCCCAGGUCAAUAGGACUCUGGGUUUUUCAGGGCCGACGGCUACUCUAACGGCUCGUACUGAAGAGAGAAAACCUGCACAAAAGCUCUCUGGCCAUUAAACAGUGCUUUACACGCACACACCAAAGCAUUGGCAAAGGCCUCUCCGCAAGCCCGGGACAUACGAUGAGCAUCUCCCUGUGACGGGGACGGGGACUUGGACAUCCUCACGACGGCAGACCGGGCCGCGCCGGGCAGGAACUGGGUCAGGCUUCGGGAAUGGCAACUGCUGGGAGCCUCUGUGCGCCGUGGGCCCUGCGCAAGGGCUGCUGCGGCCUCCGCAGACCGUAGAGGGAUGCUCCAGGCCAGCAAUGCAGUGGAAUGUGCUGUCGAGUGAGGAAAAUGCAGCACAGUAGACGGUGUGAUUCCAGCACUGAAAUGAAAGGAAAUCCAGCGCGCUCGCAGGGAGGGGAUGAGCUCAGCUCUCCCAGACAAAACAUCCUGCCUUUGGUGAUUUUUCACUGCAAAUCUGGAGAGAGGCCGCUGGGAGAAAUGUUUGCUGGGCCGGUGUCGGAGUGAGCUCGUCUUCCCUCGCACCAUUGAAUUUGUGGAGUUAAGGAAGCUGGUCCUUGAUCUCAGAUUUCUAAAUAAACUUGAUUGUUUUAUUUUAAAUAUUGCUUUUUUAAGAAAACAUCAUAUAUUUUAAACGUACUUGGAAGAAACAGAAAAUUACGGCAAGAGCAGCAGUCUUACAUAUUGCCUUAUUUUCUUCAGAUGCCCCCCCAUGUAGAAGUACUGGACACAACUGAAGCCAUCUGUGAACCCCCACCCCAGUUCUACUUCCGCACCUUCCUCCCUAGUGGUAACCGCCCUAGUGAUUUCAGUGGUUGUCAUUCCCACGCAUGGUUAGCAAUUUUUGUAUGCAUUUUGCAUCCCUAAACAUCCAGACUUUUUCUUUUUGUUUUUUAAAAUAUUUUAUUUAUUUGUUCAUGAGAGACACAGAGAGAGGCAGAGACACAGGCAGAGGGAGAAGCAGGCUCCAUGCAGGGAGCCCAAUGUGGGACUCGAUCCCAGGACCCUGGGGUCACACCCUGGAUGGACGCUGAGCCCCCCGGGCAUCCCCAUCCAAACUUUUUCUUAAGAUUUUUUUUCUCAACUUUCUGGGAAGUACUUUUUCUAAAUUCCUGCAAUUUGCUUUUUUUUCGUUGUUGUUUCUGAGAUGUAUCCCUGUUGGCAGACGCCACCGUAAUUUAUUCCUUUUGGCUGCUGCAUAGUAUUCCACCCAGAGUGGAAAUAUGCCAGGAUGGGUUCAUCAAUUCUUCCACUGAAGGACCCUUAGAUGAGCUGCAAUUCUGCUUUUGCUUUCGCUACCUCCAACAAUGCUGCAAUGUGUGAGCUGGUAUCCUUGUCUGGAGUGUAAAACCCACGUGUAGGAUGGCUGGGUCUUAGGCUCAGUGCAUCUUUGGCCGACCUACCUGCAGCCGAUGGCUCUUCCCGGUGUUUGCCGCAAUAUUCAGUCCCACCCUAACGGUGUGACGGUUCUUGCAGAGCUCUGAGAUGGCCCAUCUUUCUUUACAUUUUUGCCAACAUGAAGGGCGUGACGUGGUUUCUGCUUGUUGUCUAAUCUGAUGUCCCUGAGUGAUACUCAGACCGACCACCUUUCUCUAUGUUGAUUGGCUUUUGAGAUUUCUUUUCCUGUUCGUGCCCUUUUUAUAAUCUUUGAUUACUCUCUGAAUGGGGGUGGUUAGACGUUUUCUUCUUGGUUUAUUCUCAUUCUUAAUUUUAAAUAAGUAAGAAGAAGAAAUCCAUCCAUCCACUUAAAAUACUUUUUGAGUGAAACUCGGGUGCUAGAUGCUAUGAACGGAGCAUGAAAAAUGCAUCAUGUCUUAUAUGCCAAGAUUUGAUUCAUACUCUUUUUGGUGAUCGGAAGAGAAAACUUCUUUAACCUUACAUAAGUGUUGCAUUGGGGUGAACAUUUACUUCAUUUACGUUUUUGUCCUUAAGGUUUAUAUUAGACGAUUCCUAAUAAUAAUACAAAAUUAUGUGGUUACAAUUAUGGCUGUGUUGCUCCUUAAUUGUCAAGAUGAAGCACAUAUUCUAGAGUCUCAAAUCAGAAAAUAAGGGAAGAUGGCCCUGCUCCCCAAGGUUAUCUUG